AGAGUUUGAUCAUGGCUCAGGACGAACGCUGGCGGCGCGCUUAACACAUGCAAGUCGAGCGAGAACCAGUCCUUCGGGGCUGGGGACAGCGGCGAACGGGUGAGUAACACGUGGGUAAUCUGCCCUCGGCACCGGAAUAGCCCGGGGAAACCCGGAUUAAUGCCGGAUGGCCUCUCUGCCCUACGGGGCGGCGAGAAAAGGUAGCUUUGGCCUCCGGCCGAGGAUGAGCCCGCGGCCGAUUAGCUUGUUGGUGAGGUAACGGUUCACCAAGGCGACGAUCGGUAGCUGGUCUGAGAGGACGAUCAGCCACACUGGGACUGAGACACGGCCCAGACUCCUACGGGAGGCAGCAGUGGGGAAUCUUGCGCAAUGGGCGAAAGCCUGACGCAGCGACGCCGCGUGCGGGAAGAAGGCCUUCGGGUUGUAAACCGCUUUCAGGAGGGACGAAGCCACUCAGGUUAAUAGCCGAGAGGGUGACGGUACCUCCAGAAGAAGCCCCGGCUAACUACGUGCCAGCAGCCGCGGUA
rnacentral:rRNA from 1 species